rnacentral:rRNA from 1 species
CCUACGGGUGACAGCAGUAGGGGAUAUUGCACAAUGAGGGGAACCCUGAUGCAGCGACGCAGCGUGGGUGAAGGAGUUCUUCGGCAUGUAAAGCCCUGUCGGCAGGGAAGAAGAAAGACGGUAGCUGACUAAGACGCACCGGCUAACUACUGGCAAGCAGCCGCGGUAAUCCGUAGGGGGGGAGCGUUGACCGGAUUCACUGGGGGUAAAUGGAGCGUAGACGGCUAUGCAAGCUAGGGGGGAAAGCCCGGGGCCCCACCCCGGGACUGCCCUUGGAACUGGAUGGCUGGAGUGCGGGAGGGGCAGGCGGAAUUCCAGGUGUAGCGGUGAAAUGCGUAGAUAUCAGGAGGAACACCGGCGGCGAAGGCGGCCUGCUGGACCGCGACUGACGUUGAGGCUCGAAAGCGUGGGGAGCGAACAGGAUUAGAUACCCUAGUAGUC